CCCCCAACCCCCCACCAGCCCCACGCGGACUCCCUUUGUUCCAGAGCCGCCCGCCUGGGUCUCGGGAGCCGCUGACUCAGCGGAGUGGAGCCAGCCUUCCGCGCUCCCGCCCCCACCCCGCUUUCUCUGGAGACCUGGGAGCCGGCGCCUGGGGAGGUGGGAGGUGCGAGCGCGCCAGCCCAGCCCUUCUUUUGUUCCCUAGGACAUUCCUUUGCUCCAGUCCUCCCGAUCUGGAGCGUCUUCUGCGGUUACUGUUUCAGGUUAUGUUUCAGGGAAACUGACACCGAGGAAGCAGCCCUGACACCACGUCCUGGUUGUUGGUCUUCAGGAAGCCCUUCGACGACCCCCUCCCUGAAUCUCAGUUUCCUCACUUGUAAAGUGGGAGCCAAAAUGCUGCAGUGGAAGGGUCACUAUGAGAUUAAGUGCGAAAACACCAAUAUAAAGCGGCAGGAGUUUUCGUUUACAUUCGAUGAAAUGCACAGACAGAACUUACACGUGCAGUUCCACGAGUUCCCAGAAAUGAAAACACCCCUGUAACCCACAUCUCUAUCAAGACAGAACAUCUCCAGCCCCAGAGAAAGUUCUAAGAGUUCCUACCCAAGGAAUCCCACACACCCCACCCCAGGCAACCACUGGACUCCCUUCUCUGACAACAGGAUGAUGGCCUCCAACAGUCCAAGACUUUGCUUACAAUUUUAGGAAGAAAGAUAAUUUUCUCCAAAAGCUCUGGGGGAAAAAAUAUCUCAGGCGGACUCUAUUUGACUCAGUCAGAGAAAGUAUCUGUUCUUUCUCUGAUCCAGUCACUGAGAUUAGGCAAAUAGGAUACCCUGUUGGGCAGGACAUGGUCAUGCCCACCCCUGUCACCAAGAACAGUUAGGCUAGAAUUAGUAUUGGUCAAACCACAAAGAACAGCUCCUUAUAAAAAAUAAAAAUGAAAAUAAGGGAGGAUUUUCUCCCCCAAAAGAAUAAGGAAGGAGUUCUGGGCAGACCAGUACAACCAGUCUACUUUAGAAAACUCUGACCAUUCUAUCGUUAUUUUAUGUUGUUCAACCGGAGAAUUGGCGCCUCCAGCUGAAAAGAGGCCAGAUUUUGGAGGCAGACAGGUCUGAGUUCAAGCCCAAGGUCUGACACUGAGCUCUUUGAACCUCCGUUGUUAGCUCGCAGCACUGUAAUGUAGUGAUUCAUUCUUGAAAUUCUGGGUAGCAACCUUGAAAGGAUUAAAAGACGUAAUCACAGUGCAA